rnacentral:lncRNA from 1 species
AAAUAAUCACUUUCUGUCAGAGGUGGACUUACACUGAAGCAAAUGCAGUUUAAAUUUUAAUGAAGUUUAAGGGCCCCUUGCAAUUCUCAGGAAAAUAGGAAAAAAAUUAACAACAUGAGGGAAGUUGUAAGACAUGGGAAAUGAUAGAGUGCUUUACACCCAGGCCUGUGUAGACUGACUCCCCUGCUGAGAUGAAGAUGCCAACAGGACAACAGAGCAGCAGGUGCCCUGCCUCAGGUGGACAGCCUCCAAUCUUGCUGUGGAGAAGACUAAGCAGAGAUUUAAGAAUACUCCUAUCCCAAGGUUGCACAAUUUGUAAGUGGCAGGAAUGUAGUCUUCUGAUUCAUAUUCCAGUGCUUGUCUUAAUGUGAAAGUUAUGAAAAUAAAUCAAAUUUUGUACUUUCAUGGAGCAAAUGUUACUAUCAGAUCAGUUGUGUCUACAUUUCACCAAAAUAUUUACCAAUCCAGAAAAAAAAAUAAGCCAAUAUGAGAUACUUGGCACCACGUAGGAAA